AAUGAACGCUGGCGGCGUGCUUAACACAUGCAAGUUGAACGAGAAAGCGACUUCGGUCGUGAGUAUAGUAGCAAACGGGUGAGUAACGCGUGGGAAUCUACCCAAAGGAGAAGGAUAACUUGGAGAAAUCUGGGCUAAUCCUGCAUAGUCUCGAAAGAGUAAAGAUGGCCUCUUGCUGUCGCCUUUGGAUGAGCCCGCGUCCUAUUAGCUUGUUGGUGGGGUAAUGGCCUACCAAGGCAGAGAUGGGUAUCCGGCCUGAGAGGGUGAACGGACACAUUGGGACUGAGAUACGGCCCAG
rnacentral:rRNA from 1 species